rnacentral:rRNA from 1 species
UACGUAGGCAGCGAGCGUUGUUCGGAGUUACUGGGCGUAAAGAGUGCGUAGGCGGUUUUCUAAGUUUGGUGUGAAAUCUCCCGGCUUAACUGGGAGGGUGCGCCGAAAACUGGAAGGCUUGAGUAUGGGAGAGGUAAGCGGAAUUCCUGGUGUAGCGGUGAAAUGCGUAGAUAUCUGGAGGAACACCGGUGGCGAAGGCGGCAUCCUGGACCGGUAUUGACGCUGAGGCGCGAAAGCUAGGGGAGCAAACGGG